GGUGAGGUGGCCGAGUGGUUAUGGCGCUAGUUUCAGGACAUCUGAAAAGAGUUCCGAAAAGGAGUUACUAGUGAGGAAACUCUCGUGGGGUAUUUUCACCUUUAUCC